rnacentral:tRNA from 1 species
AGUUAACUAAGGGUAUGUCAGGCUCAUAACCUGAAGGUUGUAGGUUCAAAUCCUACCCCCGCAACCA